GCAAUUAAAACGUGCUGUGACCGACACUGACUAUACGUUUUCCCGGAGCAUUCAAUUAUGUCACUAAACGGUGAUGCCACAACU